rnacentral:misc_RNA from 1 species
AUCUUGGGAAAUUUCAUCGUGAUGGGGAUAGAUCAUUGCAAUUGUUGGUCUUCAACGAGGAAUGCCUAGUAAGCGCGAGUCAUCAGCUCGCGUUGACUACGUCCCUGCCCUUUGUACACACCGCCCGUCGCUCCUACCGAUUGAAUGGUCCGGUGAAGUGUUCGGAUCGCGGCGACGGGGGCGGUUCGCCGCCCCCGACGUCGCGAGAAGUCCAUUGAACCUUAUCAUUUAGAGGAAGGAGAAGUCGUAACAAGGUUUCCGUAGGUGAACCUGCGGAAGGAUCAUUGUCGUGACCCUGACCAAAAUAGACCGCGCACGCGUAAUCCAGCCUGCCGGCGAUGGCAUCGUCCGUCGCUCGGCCAAGUCCUCGACAACCUCAUCUCCUCGGAGUGGGGCUCGGGGUAAAAGAACCCACGACGCCUAAGGCGUCAAGGAACACUGUGCCUAGCCCGGGGACGCGGACGGCUUGCUGGCCGCCCCCCGUGCUGCAAUGCUAUUUAAUCCACACGACUCUCGGCAACGGAUAUCUCGGCUCUCGCAUCGAUGAAGAACGUAGCGAAAUGCGAUACCUGGUGUGAAUUGCAGAAUCCCGCGAACCAUCGAGUCUUUGAACGCAAGUUGCGCCCGAGGCCAUUCGGCUGAGGGCACGCCUGCCUGGGCGUCACGCAAAACACGCUCCCACCCCCUCAUCGGGUAGCGGGACGCGGCAUGUGGCCCCCCGUAGCGCAAGCUGCGGUGGGCCGAAGAUAUGGCUGCCGGCGUAUCGUGCCGGACACAGCGCGUGGUGAGCGACCUCGCUUUACUUACCGCAGUGCAUCCGGGGCGUAGCCGACGUGAUGGCCUCUAAGGACCCUUUUAACGGUGCGCACGACGCUCCGACCGCGACCCCAGGUCAGGCGGGACUACCCGCUGA